AUACUUACCCCGACGGGGUCAAUGGGUGAUCAUGAAGACUCAUGGCCUAGGUUGGUGACCUCUAUUGCACUUUGCAGGGGCGCCCGCCUAGGGUCGGCCCAAGUGGCAAAGCUUACGUCAUAAUUUGUGGCAGCGGGACCCA
rnacentral:snRNA from 1 species